rnacentral:rRNA from 1 species
GGGAAUUUUCCGCAAUGGGCGAAAGCCUGACGGAGCAAUACCGCGUGAGGGAGGAAGGUUCUUGGAUUGUAAACCUCUUUUCUAGGGGAAUAAAAAAAUGAAGGUACCCUAGGAAUAAGCAUCGGCUAACUCCGUGCCAGCAGCCGCGGUAAUACGGAGGAUGCAAGCGUUAUCCGGAAUUAUUGGGCGUAAAGAGUCCGUAGGUGGAAGUUCAAGUCUGCGGUCAAAGAAUGGAGCUUAACUCCAUAGAGGCCGUGGAAACUGAGCAACUAGAGUGCGGUAGGGGUAACGGGAAUUCCCAGUGUAGCGGUGAAAUGCGUAGAUAUUGGGAAGAACAUCGGUG